ACCGUUCUAAGAUGGGUCCUCUCUUCGUAGGCUAAUGCAUUGGCCCUUUUUGACCCGUUUUGGGGCGAAAACAAAAACUGACUCCCGGGCAUAUUUUUUUCGGCCUUUAUGGGCAAAGAACUUUAAUGCCGCUCAGAAUGAGGCCACCCAGUAGUUAGGUGUGAAUUUUCGAGACCUCUGGCACCGUUCUAAGAUGGGUCCUCUCUUCGUAGGCUAAUGCAUUGGCCCUUUUUGACCCGUUUUGGGGCGAAAAACAAAAACUGACUCCCGGGCAUAUUUUUUUCGGCCUUUAUGGGCAAAGAACUUUAAUGCCGCUCAGAAUGAGGCCACCCAGUAGUUAGGUGUGAAUUUUCGAGACCUCUGGCACCGUUCUAAGAUGGGUCCUCUCUUCGUAGGCUAAUGCAUUGGCCCUUUUUGACCCGUUUUGGGGCGAAAACAAAAAACUGACUCCCGGGCAUAUUUUUUUCGGCCUUUAUGGGCAGAGAACUUUAAUGCCGCUCAGAAUGAGGCCACCCAGUAGUUAGGUGUGAAUUUUCGAGACCUCUGGCACCGUUCUAAGAUGGGUCCUCUCUUCGUAGGCUAAUGCAUUGGCCCUUUUUGACCCGUUUUGGGGCGAAAACAAAAACUGACUCCCGGGCAUAUUUUUUUCGGCCUUUAUGGGCAGAGAACUUUAAUACCGCUCAGAAUGAGGCCACCCAGUAGUUAGGUGUGAAUUUUCGAGACCUCUGGCACCGUUCUAAGAUGGGUCCUCUCUUCGUAGGCUAAUGCAUUGGCCCUUUUUGACCCGUUUUGGGGCGAAAACAAAAACUGACUCCCGGGCAUAUUUUUUUCGGCCUUUAUGGGCAGAGAACUUUAAUACCGCUCAGAAUGAGGCCACCCAGUAGUUAGGUGUGAAUUUUCGAGACCCUCUGGCACCGUUCUAAGAUGGGUCCUCUCUUCGUAGGCUAAUGCAUUGGCCCUUUUUGACCCGUUUUGGGGCGAAAACAAAAACUGACUCCCGGGCAUAUUUUUUUCGGCCUUUAUGGGCAGAGAACUUUAAUACCGCUCAGAAUGAGGCCACCCAGUAGUUAGGUGUGAAUUUUCGAGACCUCUUGGCACCGUUCUAAGAUGGGUCCUCUCUUCGUAGGCUAAUGCAUUGGCCCUUUUUGACCCGUUUUGGGGCGAAAACAAAAACUGACUCCCGGGCAUAUUUUUUUCGGCCUUUAUGGGCAGAGAACUUUAAUGCCGCUCAGAAUGAGGCCACCCAGUAGUUAGGUGUGAAUUUUCGAGACCUCUGGCACCGUUCUAAGAUGGGUCCUCUCUUCGUAGGCUAAUGCAUUGGCCCUUUUUGACCCGUUUUGGGGCGAAAACAAAAACUGACUCCCGGGCAUAUUUUUUUCGGCCUUUAUGGGCAGAGAACUUUAAUACCGCUCAAAAAUGAGGCCACCCAGUAGUUAGGUGUGAAUUUUCGAGACCUCUGGCACCGUUCUAAGAUGGGUCCUCUCUUCGUAGGCUAAUGCAUUGGCCCUUUUUGACCCGUUUUGGGGCGAAAACAAAAACUGACUCCCGGGCAUAUUUUUUUCGGCCUUUAUGGGCAGAGAACUUUAAUACCGCUCAGAAUGAGGCCACCCAGUAGUUAGGUGUGAAUUUUCGAGACCUUUGGCACCGUUCUAAGAUGGGUCCUCUCUUCGUAGGCUAAUGCAUUGGCCCUUUUUGACCCGUUUUGGGGCGAAAACAAAAACUGACUCCCGGGCAUAUUUUUUUCGGCCUUUAUGGGCAGAGAACUUUAAUGCCGCUCAGAAUGAGGCCACCCAGUAGUUAGGUGUGAAUUUUCGAGACCUCUGGCACCGUUCUAAGAUGGGUCCUCUCUUCGUAGGCUAAUGCAUUGGCCCUUUUUGACCCGUUUUGGGGCGAAAACAAAAACUGACUCCCGGGCAUAUUUUUUUCGGCCUUUAUGGGCAGAGAACUUUAAUGCCGCUCAGAAUGAGGCCACCCAGUAGUUAGGUGUGAAUUUUCGAGACCUCUGGCACCGUUCUAAGAUGGGUCCUCUCUUCGUAGGCUAAUGCAUUGGCCCUUUUUGACCCGUUUUGGGGCGAAAACAAAAACUGACUCCCGGGCAUAUUUUUUUCGGCCUUUAUGGGCAGAGAACUUUAAUACCGCUCAGAAUGAGGCCACCCAGUAGUUAGGUGUGAAUUUUCGAGACCUCUGGCACCGUUCUAAGAUGGGUCCUCUCUUCGUAGGCUAAUGCAUUGGCCCUUUUUGACCCGUUUUGGGGCGAAAACAAAAACUGACUCCCGGGCAUAUUUUUUUCGGCCUUUAUGGGCAGAGAACUUUAAUACCGCUCAGAAUGAGGCCACCCAGUAGUUAGGUGUGAAUUUUCGAGACCUCUGGCACCGUUCUAAGAUGGGUCCUCUCUUCGUAGGCUAAUGCAUUGGCCCUUUUUGACCCGUUUUGGGGCGAAAACAAAAACUGACUCCCGGGCAUAUUUUUUUCGGCCUUUAUGGGCAGAGAACUUUAAUACCGCUCAGAAUGAGGCCACCCAGUAGUUAGGUGUGAAUUUUCGAGACCUUCUGGCACCGUUCUAAGAUGGGUCCUCUCUUCGUAGGCUAAUGCAUUGGCCCUUUUUGACCCGUUUUGGGGCGAAAACAAAAACUGACUCCCGGGCAUAUUUUUUUCGGCCUUUAUGGGCAGAGAACUUUAAUGCCGCUCAGAAUGAGGCCACCCAGUAGUUAGGUGUGAAUUUUCGAGACCUCUGGCACCGUUCUAAGAUGGGUCCUCUCUUCGUAGGCUAAUGCAUUGGCCCUUUUUGACCCGUUUUGGGGCGAAAACAAAAACUGACUCCCGGGCAUAUUUUUUUCGGCCUUUAUGGGCAGAGAACUUUAAUACCGCUCAGAAUGAGGCCACCCAGUAGUUAGGUGUGAAUUUUCGAGACCUCUGGCACCGUUCUAAGAUGGGUCCUCUCUUCGUAGGCUAAUGCAUUGGCCCUUUUUGACCCGUUUUGGGGCGAAAACAAAAACUGACUCCCGGGCAUAUUUUUUUCGGCCUUUAUGGGCAGAGAACUUUAAUACCGCUCAGAAUGAGGCCACCCAGUAGUUAGGUGUGAAUUUUCGAGACCUCUGGCACCGUUCUAAGAUGGGUCCUCUCUUCGUAGGCUAAUGCAUUGGCCCUUUUUGACCCGUUUUGGGGCGAAAACAAAAACUGACUCCCGGGCAUAUUUUUUUCGGCCUUUAUGGGCAGAGAACUUUAAUGCCGCUCAGAAUGAGGCCACCCAGUAGUUAGGUGUGAAUUUUCGAGACCUCUGGCACCGUUCUAAGAUGGGUCCUCUCUUCGUAGGCUAAUGCAUUGGCCCUUUUUGACCCGUUUUGGGGCGAAAACAAAAACUGACUCCCGGGCAUAUUUUUUUCGGCCUUUAUGGGCAGAGAACUUUAAUACCGCUCAGAAAUGAGGCCACCCAGUAGUUAGGUGUGAAUUUUCGAGACCUCUGGCACCGUUCUAAGAUGGGUCCUCUCUUCGUAGGCUAAUGCAUUGGCCCUUUUUGACCCGUUUUGGGGCGAAAACAAAAACUGACUCCCGGGCAUAUUUUUUUCGGCCUUUAUGGGCAGAGAACUUUAAUACCGCUCAGAAUGAGGCCACCCAGUAGUUAGGUGUGAAUUUUCGAGACCUCUCGGCACCGUUCUAAGAUGGGUCCUCUCUUCGUAGGCUAAUGCAUUGGCCCUUUUUGACCCGUUUUGGGGCGAAAACAAAAACUGACUCCCGGGCAUAUUUUUUUCGGCCUUUAUGGGCAGAGAACUUUAAUGCCGCUCAGAAAUGAGGCCACCCAGUAGUUAGGUGUGAAUUUUCGAGACCUCUGGCACCGUUCUAAGAUGGGUCCUCUCUUCGUAGGCUAAUGCAUUGGCCCUUUUUGACCCGUUUUGGGGCGAAAACAAAAACUGACUCCCGGGCAUAUUUUUUUCGGCCUUUAUGGGCAGAGAACUUUAAUACCGCUCAGAAUGAGGCCACCCAGUAGUUAGGUGUGAAUUUUCGAGACCUCUGGCACCGUUCUAAGAUGGGUCCUCUCUUCGUAGGCUAAUGCAUUGGCCCUUUUUGACCCGUUUUGGGGCGAAAACAAAAACUGACUCCCGGGCAUAUUUUUUUCGGCCUUUAUGGGCAGAGAACUUUAAUACCGCUCAGAAUGAGGCCACCCAGUAGUUAGGUGUGAAUUUUCGAGACCUCUUGGCACCGUUCUAAGAUGGGUCCUCUCUUCGUAGGCUAAUGCAUUGGCCCUUUUUGACCCGUUUUGGGGCGAAAACAAAAACUGACUCCCGGGCAUAUUUUUUUCGGCCUUUAUGGGCAGAGAACUUUAAUGCCGCUCAGAAUGAGGCCACCCAGUAGUUAGGUGUGAAUUUUCGAGACCUCUGGCACCGUUCUAAGAUGGGUCCUCUCUUCGUAGGCUAAUGCAUUGGCCCUUUUUGACCCGUUUUGGGGCGAAAACAAAAACUGACUCCCGGGCAUAUUUUUUUCGGCCUUUAUGGGCAGAGAACUUUAAUGCCGCUCAGAAUGAGGCCACCCAGUAGUUAGGUGUGAAUUUUCGAGACCUUUGGCACCGUUCUAAGAUGGGUCCUCUCUUCGUAGGCUAAUGCAUUGGCCCUUUUUGACCCGUUUUGGGGCGAAAACAAAAACUGACUCCCGGGCAUAUUUUUUUCGGCCUUUAUGGGCAGAGAACUUUAAUACCGCUCAGAAUGAGGCCACCCAGUAGUUAGGUGUGAAUUUUCGAGACCUCUGGCACCGUUCUAAGAUGGGUCCUCUCUUCGUAGGCUAAUGCAUUGGCCCUUUUUGACCCGUUUUGGGGCGAAAACAAAAACUGACUCCCGGGCAUAUUUUUUUCGGCCUUUAUGGGCAGAGAACUUUAAUGCCGCUCAGAAUGAGGCCACCCAGUAGUUAGGUGUGAAUUUUCGAGACCUCUGGCACCGUUCUAAGAUGGGUCCUCUCUUCGUAGGCUAAUGCAUUGGCCCUUUUUGACCCGUUUUGGGGCGAAAACAAAAACUGACUCCCGGGCAUAUUUUUUUCGGCCUUUAUGGGCAGAGAACUUUAAUACCGCUCAGAAUGAGGCCACCCAGUAGUUAGGUGUGAAUUUUCGAGACCUCUGGCACCGUUCUAAGAUGGGUCCUCUCUUCGUAGGCUAAUGCAUUGGCCCUUUUUGACCCGUUUUGGGGCGAAAACAAAAACUGACUCCCGGGCAUAUUUUUUUCGGCCUUUAUGGGCAGAGAACUCUUAAUAGCCGCUCAGAAAUGGCCAGGCCACCCAGUAGUUAGGUGUGAAUUUUCGAGACCUCUGGCACCGUUCUAAGAUGGGUCCUCUCUUCGUAGGCUAAUGCAUUGGCCCUUUUUGACCCGUUUUGGGGCGAAAACAAAAACUGACUCCCGGGCAUAUUUUUUUCGGCCUUUAUGGGCAGAGAACUUUAAUGCCGCUCAGAAUGAGGCCACCCAGUAGUUAGGUGUGAAUUUUCGAGACCUCUGGCACCGUUCUAAGAUGGGUCCUCUCUUCGUAGGCUAAUGCAUUGGCCCUUUUUGACCCGUUUUGGGGCGAAAACAAAAACUGACUCCCGGGCAUAUUUUUUUCGGCCUUUAUGGGCAGAGAACUUUAAUGCCGCUCAGAAUGAGGCCACCCAGUAGUUAGGUGUGAAUUUUCGAGACCUUUGGCACCGUUCUAAGAUGGGUCCUCUCUUCGUAGGCUAAUGCAUUGGCCCUUUUUGACCCGUUUUGGGGCGAAAACAAAAACUGACUCCCGGGCAUAUUUUUUUCGGCCUUUAUGGGCAGAGAACUUUAAUGCCGCUCAGAAUGAGGCCACCCAGUAGUUAGGUGUGAAUUUUCGAGACCUCUGGCACCGUUCUAAGAUGGGUCCUCUCUUCGUAGGCUAAUGCAUUGGCCCUUUUUGACCCGUUUUGGGGCGAAAACAAAAACUGACUCCCGGGCAUAUUUUUUUCGGCCUUUAUGGGCAGAGAACUUUAAUACCGCUCAGAAUGAGGCCACCCAGUAGUUAGGUGUGAAUUUUCGAGACCUUUGGCACCGUUCUAAGAUGGGUCCUCUCUUCGUAGGCUAAUGCAUUGGCCCUUUUUGACCCGUUUUGGGGCGAAAACAAAAACUGACUCCCGGGCAUAUUUUUUUCGGCCUUUAUGGGCAGAGAACUUUAAUACCGCUCAGAAUGAGGCCACCCAGUAGUUAGGUGUGAAUUUUCGAGACCUCUGGCACCGUUCUAAGAUGGGUCCUCUCUUCGUAGGCUAAUGCAUUGGCCCUUUUUGACCCGUUUUGGGGCGAAAACAAAAACUGACUCCCGGGCAUAUUUUUUUCGGCCUUUAUGGGCAGAGAACUUUAAUGCCGCUCAGAAUGAGGCCACCCAGUAGUUAGGUGUGAAUUUUCGAGACCUUUGGCCACCGUUCUAAGAUGGGUCCUCUCUUCGUAGGCUAAUGCAUUGGCCCUUUUUGACCCGUUUUGGGGCGAAAACAAAAACUGACUCCCGGGCAUAUUUUUUUCGGCCUUUAUGGGCAGAGAACUUUAAUACCGCUCAGAAUGAGGCCACCCAGUAGUUAGGUGUGAAUUUUCGAGACCUUUGGCACCGUUCUAAGAUGGGUCCUCUCUUCGUAGGCUAAUGCAUUGGCCCUUUUUGACCCGUUUUGGGGCGAAAACAAAAACUGACUCCCGGGCAUAUUUUUUUCGGCCUUUAUGGGCAGAGAACUUUAAUACCGCUCAGAAUGAGGCCACCCAGUAGUUAGGUGUGAAUUUUCGAGACCUUCUGGCACCGUUCUAAGAUGGGUCCUCUCUUCGUAGGCUAAUGCAUUGGCCCUUUUUGACCCGUUUUGGGGCGAAAACAAAAACUGACUCCCGGGCAUAUUUUUUUCGGCCUUUAUGGGCAGAGAACUUUAAUGCCGCUCAGAAUGAGGCCACCCAGUAGUUAGGUGUGAAUUUUCGAGACCUCUGGCACCGUUCUAAGAUGGGUCCUCUCUUCGUAGGCUAAUGCAUUGGCCCUUUUUGACCCGUUUUGGGGCGAAAACAAAAACUGACUCCCGGGCAUAUUUUUUUCGGCCUUUAUGGGCAGAGAACUUUAAUACCGCUCAGAAUGAGGCCACCCAGUAGUUAGGUGUGAAUUUUCGAGACCUUUGGCACCGUUCUAAGAUGGGUCCUCUCUUCGUAGGCUAAUGCAUUGGCCCUUUUUGACCCGUUUUGGGGCGAAAACAAAAACUGACUCCCGGGCAUAUUUUUUUCGGCCUUUAUGGGCAGAGAACUUUAAUGCCGCUCAGAAUGAGGCCACCCAGUAGUUAGGUGUGAAUUUUCGAGACCUUUGGCACCGUUCUAAGAUGGGUCCUCUCUUCGUAGGCUAAUGCAUUGGCCCUUUUUGACCCGUUUUGGGGCGAAAACAAAAACUGACUCCCGGGCAUAUUUUUUUCGGCCUUUAUGGGCAGAGAACUUUAAUACCGCUCAAAAUGAGGCCACCCAGUAGUUAGGUGUGAAUUUUCGAGACCUCUGGCACCGUUCUAAGAUGGGUCCUCUCUUCGUAGGCUAAUGCAUUGGCCCUUUUUGACCCGUUUUGGGGCGAAAACAAAAACUGACUCCCGGGCAUAUUUUUUUCGGCCUUUAUGGGCAGAGAACUUUAAUACCGCUCAAAAUGAGGCCACCCAGUAGUUAGGUGUGAAUUUUCGAGACCUUUGGCACCGUUCUAAGAUGGGUCCUCUCUUCGUAGGCUAAUGCAUUGGCCCUUUUUGACCCGUUUUGGGGCGAAAACAAAAACUGACUCCCGGGCAUAUUUUUUUCGGCCUUUAUGGGCAGAGAACUUUAAUGCCGCUCAGAAUGAGGCCACCCAGUAGUUAGGUGUGAAUUUUCGAGACCUUUGGCACCGUUCUAAGAUGGGUCCUCUCUUCGUAGGCUAAUGCAUUGGCCCUUUUUGACCCGUUUUGGGGCGAAAACAAAAACUGACUCCCGGGCAUAUUUUUUUCGGCCUUUAUGGGCAGAGAACUUUAAUACCGCUCAAAAUGAGGCCACCCAGUAGUUAGGUGUGAAUUUUCGAGACCUUUGGCACCGUUCUAAGAUGGGUCCUCUCUUCGUAGGCUAAUGCAUUGGCCCUUUUUGACCCGUUUUGGGGCGAAAACAAAAACUGACUCCCGGGCAUAUUUUUUUCGGCCUUUAUGGGCAGAGAACUUUAAUACCGCUCAAAAUGAGGCCACCCAGUAGUUAGGUGUGAAUUUUCGAGACCUUUGGCACCGUUCUAAGAUGGGUCCUCUCUUCGUAGGCUAAUGCAUUGGCCCUUUUUGACCCGUUUUGGGGCGAAAACAAAAACUGACUCCCGGGCAUAUUUUUUUCGGCCUUUAUGGGCAGAGAACUUUAAUACCGCUCAAAAUGAGGCCACCCAGUAGUUAGGUGUGAAUUUUCGAGACCUCUGGCACCGUUCUAAGAUGGGUCCUCUCUUCGUAGGCUAAUGCAUUGGCCCUUUUUGACCCGUUUUGGGGCGAAAACAAAAACUGACUCCCGGGCAUAUUUUUUUCGGCCUUUAUGGGCAGAGAACUUUAAUGCCGCUCAAAAUGAGGCCACCCAGUAGUUAGGUGUGAAUUUUCGAGACCUCUGGCACCGUUCUAAGAUGGGUCCUCUCUUCGUAGGCUAAUGCAUUGGCCCUUUUUGACCCGUUUUGGGGCGAAAACAAAAACUGACUCCCGGGCAUAUUUUUUUCGGCCUUUAUGGGCAGAGAACUUUAAUACCGCUCAGAAUGAGGCCACCCAGUAGUUAGGUGUGAAUUUUCGAGACCUUUGGCACCGUUCUAAGAUGGGUCCUCUCUUCGUAGGCUAAUGCAUUGGCCCUUUUUGACCCGUUUUGGGGCGAAAACAAAAACUGACUCCCGGGCAUAUUUUUUUCGGCCUUUAUGGGCAGAGAACUUUAAUACCGCUCAAAAUGAGGCCACCCAGUAGUUAGGUGUGAAUUUUCGAGACCUUUGGCACCGUUCUAAGAUGGGUCCUCUCUUCGUAGGCUAAUGCAUUGGCCCUUUUUGACCCGUUUUGGGGCGAAAACAAAAACUGACUCCCGGGCAUAUUUUUUUCGGCCUUUAUGGGCAGAGAACUUUAAUACCGCUCAAAAUGAGGCCACCCAGUAGUUAGGUGUGAAUUUUCGAGACCUUUGGCACCGUUCUAAGAUGGGUCCUCUCUUCGUAGGCUAAUGCAUUGGCCCUUUUUGACCCGUUUUGGGGCGAAAACAAAAACUGACUCCCGGGCAUAUUUUUUUCGGCCUUUAUGGGCAGAGAACUUUAAUACCGCUCAAAAUGAGGCCACCCAGUAGUUAGGUGUGAAUUUUCGAGACCUUUGGCACCGUUCUAAGAUGGGUCCUCUCUUCGUAGGCUAAUGCAUUGGCCCUUUUUGACCCGUUUUGGGGCGAAAACAAAAACUGACUCCCGGGCAUAUUUUUUUCGGCCUUUAUGGGCAGAGAACUUUAAUACCGCUCAAAAUGAGGCCACCCAGUAGUUAGGUGUGAAUUUUCGAGACCUUUGGCACCGUUCUAAGAUGGGUCCUCUCUUCGUAGGCUAAUGCAUUGGCCCUUUUUGACCCGUUUUGGGGCGAAAACAAAAACUGACUCCCGGGCAUAUUUUUUUCGGCCUUUAUGGGCAGAGAACUUUAAUACCGCUCAAAAUGAGGCCACCCAGUAGUUAGGUGUGAAUUUUCGAGACCUUUGGCACCGUUCUAAGAUGGGUCCUCUCUUCGUAGGCUAAUGCAUUGGCCCUUUUUGACCCGUUUUGGGGCGAAAACAAAAACUGACUCCCGGGCAUAUUUUUUUCGGCCUUUAUGGGCAGAGAACUUUAAUACCGCUCAAAAUGAGGCCACCCAGUAGUUAGGUGUGAAUUUUCGAGACCUUUGGCACCGUUCUAAGAUGGGUCCUCUCUUCGUAGGCUAAUGCAUUGGCCCUUUUUGACCCGUUUUGGGGCGAAAACAAAAACUGACUCCCGGGCAUAUUUUUUUCGGCCUUUAUGGGCAGAGAACUUUAAUACCGCUCAAAAUGAGGCCACCCAGUAGUUAGGUGUGAAUUUUCGAGACCUUUGGCACCGUUCUAAGAUGGGUCCUCUCUUCGUAGGCUAAUGCAUUGGCCCUUUUUGACCCGUUUUGGGGCGAAAACAAAAACUGACUCCCGGGCAUAUUUUUUUCGGCCUUUAUGGGCAGAGAACUUUAAUACCGCUCAAAAUGAGGCCACCCAGUAGUUAGGUGUGAAUUUUCGAGACCUUUGGCACCGUUCUAAGAUGGGUCCUCUCUUCGUAGGCUAAUGCAUUGGCCCUUUUUGACCCGUUUUGGGGCGAAAACAAAAACUGACUCCCGGGCAUAUUUUUUUCGGCCUUUAUGGGCAGAGAACUUUAAUACCGCUCAAAAUGAGGCCACCCAGUAGUUAGGUGUGAAUUUUCGAGACCUUUGGCACCGUUCUAAGAUGGGUCCUCUCUUCGUAGGCUAAUGCAUUGGCCCUUUUUGACCCGUUUUGGGGCGAAAACAAAAACUGACUCCCGGGCAUAUUUUUUUCGGCCUUUAUGGGCAGAGAACUUUAAUACCGCUCAAAAUGAGGCCACCCAGUAGUUAGGUGUGAAUUUUCGAGACCUUUGGCACCGUUCUAAGAUGGGUCCUCUCUUCGUAGGCUAAUGCAUUGGCCCUUUUUGACCCGUUUUGGGGCGAAAACAAAAACUGACUCCCGGGCAUAUUUUUUUCGGCCUUUAUGGGCAGAGAACUUUAAUACCGCUCAAAAUGAGGCCACCCAGUAGUUAGGUGUGAAUUUUCGAGACCUUUGGCACCGUUCUAAGAUGGGUCCUCUCUUCGUAGGCUAAUGCAUUGGCCCUUUUUGACCCGUUUUGGGGCGAAAACAAAAACUGACUCCCGGGCAUAUUUUUUUCGGCCUUUAUGGGCAGAGAACUUUAAUACCGCUCAAAAUGAGGCCACCCAGUAGUUAGGUGUGAAUUUUCGAGACCUUUGGCACCGUUCUAAGAUGGGUCCUCUCUUCGUAGGCUAAUGCAUUGGCCCUUUUUGACCCGUUUUGGGGCGAAAACAAAAACUGACUCCCGGGCAUAUUUUUUUCGGCCUUUAUGGGCAGAGAACUUUAAUACCGCUCAAAAUGAGGCCACCCAGUAGUUAGGUGUGAAUUUUCGAGACCUUUGGCACCGUUCUAAGAUGGGUCCUCUCUUCGUAGGCUAAUGCAUUGGCCCUUUUUGACCCGUUUUGGGGCGAAAACAAAAACUGACUCCCGGGCAUAUUUUUUUCGGCCUUUAUGGGCAGAGAACUUUAAUACCGCUCAAAAUGAGGCCACCCAGUAGUUAGGUGUGAAUUUUCGAGACCUUUGGCACCGUUCUAAGAUGGGUCCUCUCUUCGUAGGCUAAUGCAUUGGCCCUUUUUGACCCGUUUUGGGGCGAAAACAAAAACUGACUCCCGGGCAUAUUUUUUUCGGCCUUUAUGGGCAGAGAACUUUAAUACCGCUCAAAAUGAGGCCACCCAGUAGUUAGGUGUGAAUUUUCGAGACCUUUGGCACCGUUCUAAGAUGGGUCCUCUCUUCGUAGGCUAAUGCAUUGGCCCUUUUUGACCCGUUUUGGGGCGAAAACAAAAACUGACUCCCGGGCAUAUUUUUUUCGGCCUUUAUGGGCAGAGAACUUUAAUACCGCUCAAAAUGAGGCCACCCAGUAGUUAGGUGUGAAUUUUCGAGACCUUUGGCACCGUUCUAAGAUGGGUCCUCUCUUCGUAGGCUAAUGCAUUGGCCCUUUUUGACCCGUUUUGGGGCGAAAACAAAAACUGACUCCCGGGCAUAUUUUUUUCGGCCUUUAUGGGCAGAGAACUUUAAUACCGCUCAAAAUGAGGCCACCCAGUAGUUAGGUGUGAAUUUUCGAGACCUUUGGCACCGUUCUAAGAUGGGUCCUCUCUUCGUAGGCUAAUGCAUUGGCCCUUUUUGACCCGUUUUGGGGCGAAAACAAAAACUGACUCCCGGGCAUAUUUUUUUCGGCCUUUAUGGGCAGAGAACUUUAAUACCGCUCAAAAUGAGGCCACCCAGUAGUUAGGUGUGAAUUUUCGAGACCUUUGGCACCGUUCUAAGAUGGGUCCUCUCUUCGUAGGCUAAUGCAUUGGCCCUUUUUGACCCGUUUUGGGGCGAAAACAAAAACUGACUCCCGGGCAUAUUUUUUUCGGCCUUUAUGGGCAGAGAACUUUAAUACCGCUCAAAAUGAGGCCACCCAGUAGUUAGGUGUGAAUUUUCGAGACCUUUGGCACCGUUCUAAGAUGGGUCCUCUCUUCGUAGGCUAAUGCAUUGGCCCUUUUUGACCCGUUUUGGGGCGAAAACAAAAACUGACUCCCGGGCAUAUUUUUUUCGGCCUUUAUGGGCAGAGAACUUUAAUACCGCUCAAAAUGAGGCCACCCAGUAGUUAGGUGUGAAUUUUCGAGACCUUUGGCACCGUUCUAAGAUGGGUCCUCUCUUCGUAGGCUAAUGCAUUGGCCCUUUUUGACCCGUUUUGGGGCGAAAACAAAAACUGACUCCCGGGCAUAUUUUUUUCGGCCUUUAUGGGCAGAGAACUUUAAUACCGCUCAAAAUGAGGCCACCCAGUAGUUAGGUGUGAAUUUUCGAGACCUUUGGCACCGUUCUAAGAUGGGUCCUCUCUUCGUAGGCUAAUGCAUUGGCCCUUUUUGACCCGUUUUGGGGCGAAAACAAAAACUGACUCCCGGGCAUAUUUUUUUCGGCCUUUAUGGGCAGAGAACUUUAAUACCGCUCAAAAUGAGGCCACCCAGUAGUUAGGUGUGAAUUUUCGAGACCUUUGGCACCGUUCUAAGAUGGGUCCUCUCUUCGUAGGCUAAUGCAUUGGCCCUUUUUGACCCGUUUUGGGGCGAAAACAAAAACUGACUCCCGGGCAUAUUUUUUUCGGCCUUUAUGGGCAGAGAACUUUAAUACCGCUCAAAAUGAGGCCACCCAGUAGUUAGGUGUGAAUUUUCGAGACCUUUGGCACCGUUCUAAGAUGGGUCCUCUCUUCGUAGGCUAAUGCAUUGGCCCUUUUUGACCCGUUUUGGGGCGAAAACAAAAACUGACUCCCGGGCAUAUUUUUUUCGGCCUUUAUGGGCAGAGAACUUUAAUACCGCUCAAAAUGAGGCCACCCAGUAGUUAGGUGUGAAUUUUCGAGACCUUUGGCACCGUUCUAAGAUGGGUCCUCUCUUCGUAGGCUAAUGCAUUGGCCCUUUUUGACCCGUUUUGGGGCGAAAACAAAAACUGACUCCCGGGCAUAUUUUUUUCGGCCUUUAUGGGCAGAGAACUUUAAUACCGCUCAAAAUGAGGCCACCCAGUAGUUAGGUGUGAAUUUUCGAGACCUUUGGCACCGUUCUAAGAUGGGUCCUCUCUUCGUAGGCUAAUGCAUUGGCCCUUUUUGACCCGUUUUGGGGCGAAAACAAAAACUGACUCCCGGGCAUAUUUUUUUCGGCCUUUAUGGGCAGAGAACUUUAAUACCGCUCAAAAUGAGGCCACCCAGUAGUUAGGUGUGAAUUUUCGAGACCUUUGGCACCGUUCUAAGAUGGGUCCUCUCUUCGUAGGCUAAUGCAUUGGCCCUUUUUGACCCGUUUUGGGGCGAAAACAAAAACUGACUCCCGGGCAUAUUUUUUUCGGCCUUUAUGGGCAGAGAACUUUAAUACCGCUCAAAAUGAGGCCACCCAGUAGUUAGGUGUGAAUUUUCGAGACCUUUGGCACCGUUCUAAGAUGGGUCCUCUCUUCGUAGGCUAAUGCAUUGGCCCUUUUUGACCCGUUUUGGGGCGAAAACAAAAACUGACUCCCGGGCAUAUUUUUUUCGGCCUUUAUGGGCAGAGAACUUUAAUACCGCUCAAAAUGAGGCCACCCAGUAGUUAGGUGUGAAUUUUCGAGACCUUUGGCACCGUUCUAAGAUGGGUCCUCUCUUCGUAGGCUAAUGCAUUGGCCCUUUUUGACCCGUUUUGGGGCGAAAACAAAAACUGACUCCCGGGCAUAUUUUUUUCGGCCUUUAUGGGCAGAGAACUUUAAUACCGCUCAAAAUGAGGCCACCCAGUAGUUAGGUGUGAAUUUUCGAGACCUUUGGCACCGUUCUAAGAUGGGUCCUCUCUUCGUAGGCUAAUGCAUUGGCCCUUUUUGACCCGUUUUGGGGCGAAAACAAAAACUGACUCCCGGGCAUAUUUUUUUCGGCCUUUAUGGGCAGAGAACUUUAAUACCGCUCAAAAUGAGGCCACCCAGUAGUUAGGUGUGAAUUUUCGAGACCUUUGGCACCGUUCUAAGAUGGGUCCUCUCUUCGUAGGCUAAUGCAUUGGCCCUUUUUGACCCGUUUUGGGGCGAAAACAAAAACUGACUCCCGGGCAUAUUUUUUUCGGCCUUUAUGGGCAGAGAACUUUAAUACCGCUCAAAAUGAGGCCACCCAGUAGUUAGGUGUGAAUUUUCGAGACCUUUGGCACCGUUCUAAGAUGGGUCCUCUCUUCGUAGGCUAAUGCAUUGGCCCUUUUUGACCCGUUUUGGGGCGAAAACAAAAACUGACUCCCGGGCAUAUUUUUUUCGGCCUUUAUGGGCAGAGAACUUUAAUACCGCUCAAAAUGAGGCCACCCAGUAGUUAGGUGUGAAUUUUCGAGACCUUUGGCACCGUUCUAAGAUGGGUCCUCUCUUCGUAGGCUAAUGCAUUGGCCCUUUUUGACCCGUUUUGGGGCGAAAACAAAAACUGACUCCCGGGCAUAUUUUUUUCGGCCUUUAUGGGCAGAGAACUUUAAUACCGCUCAAAAUGAGGCCACCCAGUAGUUAGGUGUGAAUUUUCGAGACCUUUGGCACCGUUCUAAGAUGGGUCCUCUCUUCGUAGGCUAAUGCAUUGGCCCUUUUUGACCCGUUUUGGGGCGAAAACAAAAACUGACUCCCGGGCAUAUUUUUUUCGGCCUUUAUGGGCAGAGAACUUUAAUACCGCUCAAAAUGAGGCCACCCAGUAGUUAGGUGUGAAUUUUCGAGACCUCUUGGCACCGUUCUAAGAUGGGUCCUCUCUUCGUAGGCUAAUGCAUUGGCCCUUUUUGACCCGUUUUGGGGCGAAAACAAAAACUGACUCCCGGGCAUAUUUUUUUCGGCCUUUAUGGGCAGAGAACUUUAAUACCGCUCAAAAUGAGGCCACCCAGUAGUUAGGUGUGAAUUUUCGAGACCUCUGGCACCGUUCUAAGAUGGGUCCUCUCUUCGUAGGCUAAUGCAUUGGCCCUUUUUGACCCGUUUUGGGGCGAAAACAAAAACUGACUCCCGGGCAUAUUUUUUUCGGCCUUUAUGGGCAGAGAACUUUAAUGCCGCUCAAAAUGAGGCCACCCAGUAGUUAGGUGUGAAUUUUCGAGACCUCUGGCACCGUUCUAAGAUGGGUCCUCUCUUCGUAGGCUAAUGCAUUGGCCCUUUUUGACCCGUUUUGGGGCGAAAACAAAAACUGACUCCCGGGCAUAUUUUUUUCGGCCUUUAUGGGCAGAGAACUUUAAUACCGCUCAGAAUGAGGCCACCCAGUAGUUAGGUGUGAAUUUUCGAGACCUUCUGGCACCGUUCUAAGAUGGGUCCUCUCUUCGUAGGCUAAUGCAUUGGCCCUUUUUGACCCGUUUUGGGGCGAAAACAAAAACUGACUCCCGGGCAUAUUUUUUUCGGCCUUUAUGGGCAGAGAACUUUAAUACCGCUCAGAAUGAGGCCACCCAGUAGUUAGGUGUGAAUUUUCGAGACCUCUGGCACCGUUCUAAGAUGGGUCCUCUCUUCGUAGGCUAAUGCAUUGGCCCUUUUUGACCCGUUUUGGGGCGAAAACAAAAACUGACUCCCGGGCAUAUUUUUUUCGGCCUUUAUGGGCAGAGAACUUUAAUACCGCUCAGAAUGAGGCCACCCAGUAGUUAGGUGUGAAUUUUCGAGACCUUUGGCACCGUUCUAAGAUGGGUCCUCUCUUCGUAGGCUAAUGCAUUGGCCCUUUUUGACCCGUUUUGGGGCGAAAACAAAAACUGACUCCCGGGCAUAUUUUUUUCGGCCUUUAUGGGCAGAGAACUUUAAUGCCGCUCAGAAUGAGGCCACCCAGUAGUUAGGUGUGAAUUUUCGAGACCUUUGGCACCGUUCUAAGAUGGGUCCUCUCUUCGUAGGCUAAUGCAUUGGCCCUUUUUGACCCGUUUUGGGGCGAAAACAAAAACUGACUCCCGGGCAUAUUUUUUUCGGCCUUUAUGGGCAGAGAACUUUAAUGCCGCUCAGAAUGAGGCCACCCAGUAGUUAGGUGUGAAUUUUCGAGACCUCUGGCACCGUUCUAAGAUGGGUCCUCUCUUCGUAGGCUAAUGCAUUGGCCCUUUUUGACCCGUUUUGGGGCGAAAACAAAAACUGACUCCCGGGCAUAUUUUUUUCGGCCUUUAUGGGCAGAGAACUUUAAUACCGCUCAAAAUGAGGCCACCCAGUAGUUAGGUGUGAAUUUUCGAGACCUUUGGCACCGUUCUAAGAUGGGUCCUCUCUUCGUAGGCUAAUGCAUUGGCCCUUUUUGACCCGUUUUGGGGCGAAAACAAAAACUGACUCCCGGGCAUAUUUUUUUCGGCCUUUAUGGGCAGAGAACUUUAAUACCGCUCAAAAUGAGGCCACCCAGUAGUUAGGUGUGAAUUUUCGAGACCUCUGGCACCGUUCUAAGAUGGGUCCUCUCUUCGUAGGCUAAUGCAUUGGCCCUUUUUGACCCGUUUUGGGGCGAAAACAAAAACUGACUCCCGGGCAUAUUUUUUUCGGCCUUUAUGGGCAGAGAACUUUAAUACCGCUCAAAAUGAGGCCACCCAGUAGUUAGGUGUGAAUUUUCGAGACCUUUGGCACCGUUCUAAGAUGGGUCCUCUCUUCGUAGGCUAAUGCAUUGGCCCUUUUUGACCCGUUUUGGGGCGAAAACAAAAACUGACUCCCGGGCAUAUUUUUUUCGGCCUUUAUGGGCAGAGAACUUUAAUACCGCUCAGAAUGAGGCCACCCAGUAGUUAGGUGUGAAUUUUCGAGACCUUUGGCACCGUUCUAAGAUGGGUCCUCUCUUCGUAGGCUAAUGCAUUGGCCCUUUUUGACCCGUUUUGGGGCGAAAACAAAAACUGACUCCCGGGCAUAUUUUUUUCGGCCUUUAUGGGCAGAGAACUUUAAUACGCCGCUCAGAAUGAGGCCACCCAGUAGUUAGGUGUGAAUUUUCGAGACCUUUGGCACCGUUCUAAGAUGGGUCCUCUCUUCGUAGGCUAAUGCAUUGGCCCUUUUUGACCCGUUUUGGGGCGAAAACAAAAACUGACUCCCGGGCAUAUUUUUUUCGGCCUUUAUGGGCAGAGAACUUUAAUACCGCUCAGAAUGAGGCCACCCAGUAGUUAGGUGUGAAUUUUCGAGACCUUUGGCACCGUUCUAAGAUGGGUCCUCUCUUCGUAGGCUAAUGCAUUGGCCCUUUUUGACCCGUUUUGGGGCGAAAACAAAAACUGACUCCCGGGCAUAUUUUUUUCGGCCUUUAUGGGCAGAGAACUUUAAUACCGCUCAGAAUGAGGCCACCCAGUAGUUAGGUGUGAAUUUUCGAGACCUUUGGCACCGUUCUAAGAUGGGUCCUCUCUUCGUAGGCUAAUGCAUUGGCCCUUUUUGACCCGUUUUGGGGCGAAAACAAAAACUGACUCCCGGGCAUAUUUUUUUCGGCCUUUAUGGGCAGAGAACUUUAAUACCGCUCAAAAUGAGGCCACCCAGUAGUUAGGUGUGAAUUUUCGAGACCUUCUGGCACCGUUCUAAGAUGGGUCCUCUCUUCGUAGGCUAAUGCAUUGGCCCUUUUUGACCCGUUUUGGGGCGAAAACAAAAACUGACUCCCGGGCAUAUUUUUUUCGGCCUUUAUGGGCAGAGAACUUUAAUACCGCUCAAAAUGAGGCCACCCAGUAGUUAGGUGUGAAUUUUCGAGACCUCUGGCACCGUUCUAAGAUGGGUCCUCUCUUCGUAGGCUAAUGCAUUGGCCCUUUUUGACCCGUUUUGGGGCGAAAACAAAAACUGACUCCCGGGCAUAUUUUUUUCGGCCUUUAUGGGCAGAGAACUUUAAUACCCGCUCAGAAUGAGGCCACCCAGUAGUUAGGUGUGAAUUUUCGAGACCUUCUGGCACCGUUCUAAGAUGGGUCCUCUCUUCGUAGGCUAAUGCAUUGGCCCUUUUUGACCCGUUUUGGGGCGAAAACAAAAACUGACUCCCGGGCAUAUUUUUUUCGGCCUUUAUGGGCAGAGAACUUUAAUACCGCUCAAAAUGAGGCCACCCAGUAGUUAGGUGUGAAUUUUCGAGACCUCUGGCACCGUUCUAAGAUGGGUCCUCUCUUCGUAGGCUAAUGCAUUGGCCCUUUUUGACCCGUUUUGGGGCGAAAACAAAAACUGACUCCCGGGCAUAUUUUUUUCGGCCUUUAUGGGCAGAGAACUUUAAUACCGCUCAAAAUGAGGCCACCCAGUAGUUAGGUGUGAAUUUUCGAGACCUUUGGCACCGUUCUAAGAUGGGUCCUCUCUUCGUAGGCUAAUGCAUUGGCCCUUUUUGACCCGUUUUGGGGCGAAAACAAAAACUGACUCCCGGGCAUAUUUUUUUCGGCCUUUAUGGGCAGAGAACUUUAAUGCCGCUCAGAAUGAGGCCACCCAGUAGUUAGGUGUGAAUUUUCGAGACCUUUGGCACCGUUCUAAGAUGGGUCCUCUCUUCGUAGGCUAAUGCAUUGGCCCUUUUUGACCCGUUUUGGGGCGAAAACAAAAACUGACUCCCGGGCAUAUUUUUUUCGGCCUUUAUGGGCAGAGAACUUUAAUGCCGCUCAAAAUGAGGCCACCCAGUAGUUAGGUGUGAAUUUUCGAGACCUUUGGCACCGUUCUAAGAUGGGUCCUCUCUUCGUAGGCUAAUGCAUUGGCCCUUUUUGACCCGUUUUGGGGCGAAAACAAAAACUGACUCCCGGGCAUAUUUUUUUCGGCCUUUAUGGGCAGAGAACUUUAAUACCGCUCAAAAUGAGGCCACCCAGUAGUUAGGUGUGAAUUUUCGAGACCUUUGGCACCGUUCUAAGAUGGGUCCUCUCUUCGUAGGCUAAUGCAUUGGCCCUUUUUGACCCGUUUUGGGGCGAAAACAAAAACUGACUCCCGGGCAUAUUUUUUUCGGCCUUUAUGGGCAGAGAACUUUAAUGCCGCUCAAAAUGAGGCCACCCAGUAGUUAGGUGUGAAUUUUCGAGACCUUUGGCACCGUUCUAAGAUGGGUCCUCUCUUCGUAGGCUAAUGCAUUGGCCCUUUUUGACCCGUUUUGGGGCGAAAACAAAAACUGACUCCCGGGCAUAUUUUUUUCGGCCUUUAUGGGCAGAGAACUUUAAUACCCGCUCAGAAUGAGGCCACCCAGUAGUUAGGUGUGAAUUUUCGAGACCUUUGGCACCGUUCUAAGAUGGGUCCUCUCUUCGUAGGCUAAUGCAUUGGCCCUUUUUGACCCGUUUUGGGGCGAAAACAAAAACUGACUCCCGGGCAUAUUUUUUUCGGCCUUUAUGGGCAGAGAACUUUAAUACCGCUCAGAAAUGAGGCCACCCAGUAGUUAGGUGUGAAUUUUCGAGACCUUUGGCACCGUUCUAAGAUGGGUCCUCUCUUCGUAGGCUAAUGCAUUGGCCCUUUUUGACCCGUUUUGGGGCGAAAACAAAAACUGACUCCCGGGCAUAUUUUUUUCGGCCUUUAUGGGCAGAGAACUUUAAUACCGCUCAGAAAUGAGGCCACCCAGUAGUUAGGUGGGAAUUUUCGAGACCUUUGGCACCGUUCUAAGAUGGGUCCUCUCUUCGUAGGCUAAUGCAUUGGCCCUUUUUGACCCGUUUUGGGGCGAAAACAAAAACUGACUCCCGGGCAUAUUUUUUUCGGCCUUUAUGGGCAGAGAACUUUAACACCGCUCAAAAUGAGGCCACCCAGUAGUUAGGUGUGAAUUUUCGAGACCUUUGGCACCGUUCUAAGAUGGGUCCUCUCUUCGUAGGCUAAUGCAUUGGCCCUUUUUGACCCGUUUUGGGGCGAAAACAAAAACUGACUCCCGGGCAUAUUUUUUUCGGCCUUUAUGGGCAGAGAACUUUAAUACCGCUCAAAAUGAGGCCACCCAGUAGUUAGGUGUGAAUUUUCGAGACCUUUGGCACCGUUCUAAGAUGGGUCCUCUCUUCGUAGGCUAAUGCAUUGGCCCUUUUUGACCCGUUUUGGGGCGAAAACAAAAACUGACUCCCGGGCAUAUUUUUUUCGGCCUUUAUGGGCAGAGAACUUUAACACCGCUCAAAAUGAGGCCACCCAGUAGUUAGGUGGGAAUUUUCGAGACCUUUGGCACCGUUCUAAGAUGGGUCCUCUCUUCGUAGGCUAAUGCAUUGGCCCUUUUUGACCCGUUUUGGGGCGAAAACAAAAACUGACUCCCGGGCAUAUUUUUUUUCGGCCUUUAUGGGCAGAGAACUUUAACACCGCUCAAAAUGAGGCCACCCAGUAGUUAGGUGGGAAUUUUCGAGACCUUUGGCACCGUUCUAAGAUGGGUCCUCUCUUCGUAGGCUAAUGCAUUGGCCCUUUUUGACCCGUUUUGGGGCGAAAACAAAAACUGACUCCCGGGCAUAUUUUUC
rnacentral:lncRNA from 1 species